rnacentral:rRNA from 1 species
AGUUUGAUUAUGGCUCAGAUUGAACGCUGGCGGGAUGCUUUACACAUGCCGUCGAACGGCAGCACGGACUUCGGUCUGGUGGCGAGUGGCGAACGGGUGAGUAAUGUAUCCGGAACGUGCCUAGUAGCGGGGGAUAACUACGCGAAAGCGUAGCUAAUACCGCAUACGCCCUUCGGGGGAAAGCGGGGGACCUUCGGGCCUCGCACUAUUAGAGCGGCCGAUAUCGGAUUAGCUAGUUGGUGGGGUAACGGCUCACCAAGGCGACGAUCCGUAGCUGGUUUGAGAGGACGACCAACCACACUGGGACUGAGACACGGCCCAGACUCCUACGGGAGGCAGCAGUGGGGAAUUUUGGACAAUGGGGGAAACCCUGAUCCAGCCAUCCCGCGUGUGCGAUGAAGGCCUUCGGGUUGUAAAGCACUUUUGGCAGGAAAGAAACGGCACGGGAUAAUACCCCGUGCAGCUGACAGUACCUGCAGAAUAAAGCACCGGCUAACUACGUGCCAGCAGCCGCGAUAAUACGUAGAAGUGCAAGCGUUAAUCGGAAUUACUGGGCGUAAAGCGUGCGCAGGCGGUUCGGAAGAAAAGAUGUGAAAUCCCAGAGCUUAACUUUGGAACUGCAUUUUUAACUACCGAGCUAGAGAGUGUGUCAGAGGGAGGUGGAGAUUCCGCGUGUGGCAGUGAAAUGCGUAGAUAUGCGGAGGAACACCGAUGGCGAAGGCAGCCUCCUGGGAUAACACUGGCGUGACGCUCAUGCACGAAAGCGUGGGGAGCAAACAGGAUUAGAUACCCUGGUAGUCCACGCCUAAACGAUGUCAACUAGCUGUUGGGGCCUUCGGGCCUUGGUAGCGCAGCUAACGCGUGAAGUUGACCGCCACCAGAGUACGGUCGCAAGAUUAAAACUCAAAGGAAUUGACGGGGACCCGCACAAGCGGUGGAUGAUGUGGAUUAAUUCGAUGCAACGCGAAAAACCUUACCUACCCUUGACAUGUCUGGAAUCCCGAAGAGAUUUGGGAGUGCUCACCAAAGAGAACCGGAACACAGGUGCUGCAUGGCUGUCGUCAGCUCGUGUCGUGAGAUGUUGGGUUAAGUCCACCAACGAGCGCAACCCUUGUCAUUAGUUGCUACGAAAGGGCACUCUAAUGAGACUGCCGGUGACAAACCGGAGGAAGGUGGGGAUGACGUCAAGUCCUCAUGGCCCUUAUGGGUAGGGCUUCACACGUCAUACAAUGGUCGGGACAGAGGGUCGCCAACCCGCGAGGGGUAAUCCCAGAAACCCGAUCGUAGUCCGGAUCGCAGUCUGCAACUCGACUGCGUGAAGUCAAGAAUCCGCUAGUAAUCGCGGAUCAGCAUGUCGCGGUGAAUACGUUCCAGGUCUUGUACACACCGCCCGUCACACCAUGGGAGUGGGUUUUGCAGAAGUAGUUAGCCUAACCGUAAGGAGGGCGAUUACCACGGUAGGAUUCAUGACUGGGGGUGAAGUCGUAACAAGGUAA